GCCUACGUAGCUUAUAUAAAGCAUAACACUGAAGAUGUUAAGAUGAACUUUAAUAAGUUCCGAAGACA
rnacentral:tRNA from 1 species